rnacentral:rRNA from 1 species
CCUUCGGGGGGGAGUGGCGCACGGGUGAGUAACGCGUGGGAACCUGCCCUGGGGUGGGGGAUAACCGAUGGAAACGUCGGCUAAUACCGCAUACGUCCUGAGGGAGAAAGAUUUAUCGCCCUGGGAGGGGCCCGCGUCGGAUUAGCUAGUUGGUGGGGUAACGGCCUACCAAGGCGAUGAUCCGUAGCUGGUCUGAGAGGAUGAUCAGCCACACUGGGACUGAGACACGGCCCAGACUCCUACGGGAGGCAGCAGUGGGGAAUAUUGGACAAUGGGCGCAAGCCUGAUCCAGCAAUGCCGCGUGAGUGAUGAAGGCCUUAGGG